CAGAAUCAUGUUGGAUUGCUCUCGAACGAGGAGUUCUUGCGGAGCCGAAUCUACCGGUUGUGUUGGCUCCUUGUUCGGCCACGUUCUGGGUGCAGCGAUCUGACGCUGAAACCACCGCCGUGGGGGACACUGGUCGCACCUUAUCGACAAGUUUUUGCUUUCAUAAAGCUCCCUGUCUCUCCGACCAGAAGCACAUGGUGAACGUGAAACGGCGCACGGAACAGCUGCUAGCCGGAGAUUCACGAUCGACACUGCAGCUGCCCCAUCCGCCAUUUUGGGACCGCCAGGGAGAUGGUGCAAAUGCGACGCAGAGAAAGGUGGUGAACGAAAAAGAAAACAUGCGCGGAAAAUUACCGUCCAGGGAAUUGACACAAAUUCUCAACUGACACGUAAUUGACUACAGACAGAGAAACGCCCCUUGGCAUCAUCGACAGGGUUAAACAUUGACCUGGAGGUGGUUAUGCACGGCUGGCGAUGGUGUUUUUUGCAACUCUACAGCUAGAGGGUGAAGAUGGGGACUUUAGACGGACUAGCAGUGAUUCUAUUGAGAUACCAACUUGAUGAGAGUGAUUGACGACCUUUACUGAUUACUUCAAGUACAGUACACACUAUUGGGUGAGAUGGUGCUCUUACGACUCUUCAACCAAGAACAGAGCUAAGUACAAGUACAAGAGAUUUGGUAAUCGAGCAAAUAUAACCUAGUGUCAAUGAAAUGAUUGACUGGCUAUAUGACAGCUAUGAUUGCUUUAUUUCCGGUUCUUGGCUGAGGUUCUUCAGAUGUAAGCAUGUCUCAGAGGGUGUGAAAAUGUCGACACACACGGAAAUAUCGCGGCUAGAAACACAAGGAGUUGUCCGUCUUGAUUCCAAGGGUCUUUUGAAGCGGCUUAUCAACUUUGCAUCGGUUUAUUUCGCUUUAUUAAGAAGUAAAUUGCUGGAAAAUACCAACAUCGUGAUAAAAAUCAAGCCAGAAACGAAAAAAAGAAGCGUAUGCGCAAAAAAGAACAAUCUGGGUAACGGCAAAGGGUGUCUUUGUCUACUACCAGGAGUUUUUUAAACCCUGCCGCUCAUCUUGACGAUCUGCUGUCAUUCAUUGUCCAACUGAUGUUCAGUCUAUCACUAAUAUUACGCCAGAACAGCAUUGACAGAAACGAAAAGUCGAAUGAUAGUCGCUCUGAGGUAUGUCGAUUUCAAUAGUAUACGGCAUUGAUCGCUAGAUAGUGAUUUGAAGUACUAUCGGCGAAAGUGCUAUGUGAAGUACAAUGUGAAGUACAACGCUCUGUAGACCUGUUUGCCGAAAACCAACUCCACCACUGCGUUUUCCGCGUCCUGAUCCCAUUGGCCUUUGCUACAUAAAUUUAAUAU
rnacentral:misc_RNA from 1 species